rnacentral:rRNA from 1 species
UGGGGAAUAUUGCACAAUGGGCGCAAGCCUGAUGCAGCAACGCCGCGUGAACGAUGAAGGUCUUCGGAUCGUAAAGUUCUGUUGCAGGGGAAGAUAAUGACGGUACCCUGUGAGGAAGCCCCGGCUAACUACGUGCCAGCAGCCGCGGUAAUACGUAGGGGGCUAGCGUUAUCCGGAUUUACUGGGCGUAAAGGGUGCGUAGGUGGUCUUUCAAGUCGGUGGUUAAAGGCUACGGCUCAACCGUAGUUAGCCUCCGAAACUGGAAGACUUGAGUGCAGGAGAGGAAAGUGGAAUUCCUAGUGUAGCGGUGGAAUGCGUAGAUAUUAGGAGGAAUACCGGUGGCGAAGGCGACUUUCUGGACUUGAACUGACGCUGAGGCACGAAAGCGUGGGGAGCAAACAGG